UACGGAGGGUGCAAGCAUUAAUCGGAAUUAUUGGGCGUAAAGAGCACGUAGGCGGCGUCUUAAGUCAGAUGUGAAACUCCGGAGCUUAACUCCGGACCUGCAUCUGAAACUGAGACACUAGAGGAUAGUCGGAGAAAACGGAAUUCCACAAGUAGCGGUGAAAUGCGUAGAUAUGUGGAAGAACACCAGUGGCGAAAGCGGUUUUCUAGAUUAUUCCUGACACUCAGGUGCGAAAGCAAGGGGAGCAAACAGG
rnacentral:rRNA from 1 species